UAGACAUCUUCUGGUUGGAGGAUCCUACAGAGGAAGAUGGCUGGCCGGCCAUGGAUGUACGGUCCUAACCUGGUCUUAAGACAUCUUCUGGUUGGAGGAUCAUACAGGGAAGAUGGGGCAACGGUCCUAACCUGGGUCUUUAGACAUCUUCUGGUUGGAGGAUCAUACAGGGAAGAUGGGGCAACGGUCCUAACCUGGUCUUCUGGUUGGAGGAUCAUACAGGGAAGAUGGGGCAACGGUCCUAACCUGGGUCUUUAGACAUCUUCCCAGACAAAAGAGCUGUGCAUGAAGAUGUCUUCUGGAGAAGAGAUUUCCUGAACAAUGGCUGUGCGUUAGGACAUACAAUAAGCAGUGACAUAUGAAUGAGUUGGUGUAAAUACACAGUGGUGUAAAGUACUUAAGUACUACUUGUGUUUUUCUUUUGGUGGUAUCUGUACUUUACUAUUUAUAUUUUUUGACAACUUUUACUCCACUACAUUUCUAAAGAAAAUAAAUGUGCAUUUUCCUCCAUACAUUUUCCCUGACACCCAAACGUACUGAUUACAUUUGGAAAUGCUCAGGCAGGACAGCAAUAUGGGCUAAUCAUGCACCUAUCUUUUUGUUUUUUACCUUUUAUUUUAACUGGGAAGAAAUUGAGGCCUAGGUUUCUUUUCCAGAUGUGCCCUGUAUAAUACAAUAUAAAUAUACACAUUAUACACAAUAUAUUACAAUACAAAACACAGUCAUGUUAAGCACUAUUAAAACAUCACAAAUCAUUCAGAAAAAGUUACAUUCCUCCACAAGUCCCCAAUCAAUACAUUAAAUUGCCUCAAACAGCACCAGAACAUCAAAAUGAAAUGUAUUUAUGUUUUGGGGGCAAUGUGGUGCAUUUAAGCUAAAACCAGAUGUACCUAGUUCGGUGGAGACCCUAGGAACGUCGAGUUAACGGGUUAGGCAACUCGGGUGUCUACUUCAAAAGAAGUGUUAGAUAAGACGGAAGUUUAUGAAGCAGGGCCUUGUAAACAAAAAGGGAGUAAUGUAGAGACCUACGGGUUUUUAGCGAAGUCCAGCCAAUCUUUUGAUACAGGAUGCAGUGUUGUGAUGAGUAUGAAAUCUGUCGCCUGAAACRACGAAGGGCAACGUGGUAGAUGGAAUCCAUAGCUUUAAGACUAGUAGCAACUGUAUUUGGAUAAAUAAUCACCAUAAUCAAGAACAGAUGACUAAGCUUGACUGAAUAAUCUGCUUCCUACUGCUGAGAGAAAGGCUCCAUCGCUUUCUGUAGAAAAAAAGACCGCUUUAAAUCUUAGCUUCUUAACCAGCUCAUCUAUGUUAAUUUUAAAUCUAUAUCAAUCCAAAUGUCUUAUUUAUAUGCAGGAACACGUUUGAUUGGAGAACCAUCUAAUGAGUGAACAUGUAGUUCAUCUGAAACAUUCUUACSAGAGUUUAAAAACAUGUAUUUAGUUUUGUCCAUAUUAAGCACAAGUUUUAAAUCGGCUAGGGAUUCCUACAUAGCUAUAAAAUCGGACUAGUUUUGGCACAGCCAGAUCAAUAGGGGCGGCAGGUAGCCUAGUGGUUAGAGCGUUGGACUAGUAACUGGAAGGUUUCUAGAUCGAAUCCCUGAGCUGACAAGGUAAAAAUCUGUUGUUCUGCCCUUGAACAAGGCAGUUAACCCACUGUUCCUAGGCCGUCAUUGUAAAUAAGAAUUUGUCCUUAACUGACUUGCCUAGUUAAAUUUAAAAAACUAGUCGGGGCAAUAGUGUACAUAAUAGUAUCAUCCACAUUUAAAUGAAGUUAACAGAUUGCCAAUGGUGUUAAUGUAAAUAGUGAAUAGAACAGGUCCCAAAAUCAGGAUUUGACAGUUUUCCAGAAUUUACCCGGGUUCCCAUACAAUCCCAAAGAGCAGUUACAUAAUCCCAUUUAGCCUUGCUGAUUUGUCUUGCACAAUAGUUCCUCAGUUGCUUAAAGCUUGCCGGGCCUGAGCCUGUGUUCCUGGUCUUGACCCAAGCAUCGUCUCUUUUAUAAAUGACUUCUGAUCAUUCUGGAGUGUACCAGGCAUUCCAUCUACCUUUUAACCCUUCAUUUUUUUGAAGGGAGCAUGAUUAUCCACAAUAGUAUUGAAGACAUCUGCAAAAAGGCUGAAAGCUAAAUCAUGAUGAUGGAUAGCUGAAAUACAAUCAAGGUCACUAAAAUAAAGAUUAAAAGUUUUUAAAGUUUUCCUCUUUUGUUCGAGAUGAGGUUAGAUUGUGUUUGUCUCACAUCCUCUACAAACACACGUCGUUUAUUUUAACCCCCCCCCCCCCCUUUUCUCCCCAUCUCGUCGCUGCAACUCCCCAACGGGCUCGGUGAGCGGUUAAAGGUUGAGUCAUGCGUUUCUCCGAAAUAUGGCCAAAGCAUGCUUAAUUAAACACCUGCCAGCCUGGAGGAAACACCUGACGACCGAGUCAGCCUGCAGGCGCCCAGCCCGCCACAAGGUGUUGCUAGAGCGCGAUGAGUCAAGUAAAGCCCCCCCCCCGCCAAACCCUCCCCUAACCCGGACGACACUGGGCCAAUUGUGCUCCGCCCUAUGGGACUCCGGUCACGGCCGGUUGUGAUACAGCCUGGGAUCAAACCCGGGUCUGCAGGGACACCUCACUGCGAUGCAGUGCCUUAGACUGCUGUGCCACCCGGGAGGUCCUGGCAAUGGGCAGUUUCAGUCAAUACCAGAUUAUCUGGACUCACCUGCAUAGCCCAGAUCUUGAUGUAAUCCAGAUUAGGAACUAAGCUCCUAAUGUUCAGAUGCAUCAACCCAAGUCCUUUGCGAUUUUUAAAGUCACAUGGAAACUAACUCAAACAAGCUACGUUCAAUAGAUGGCUGCAGGCCCUGUCUGAUGGUUGAUAUUGAUAUAGUUGGUAUGGCUAUCAGAUUGCAUAGGACUGCUCCAUUUGGUCCCUAUUAGUAAUAGACGAAGGAGUAGAAAUGGGAUAAAACGCAUUGUCAUCCCUACUGCCUCUGAUCUGGUGAACUCACUAAACACAAAUACUUUGUUUGUAAAUUAUGUUGGAGUGUGCCUUCUAUCCGUACAUGAGGAAAAACAAACAAGAAAAUGGUGCCGUCUGCUUUAAUAGAAGGAAUACGAUGUGUAGCAUUUACUUUCUAAUUUUUGUUAAAAAAUAUUUUUAAACAUCAGAAUUGACUACUUUUUACACCACUGUAURUYAGUACAUUUUAAACCAAAUACUUUGACUUUUAAUAAAYUAGUAUUUUACUGGYUGACUUUCACUUUUACUUGAGUCAUUUUCUAUUAAGGUAUCUUUACUUUUACUCAAGUAUGACAAUUGAGUACUUUUCCCACCACUGGGUAUACAUAAGGCAUUUAUAACAUAUUUAUGAAACCAGUUGUGACACCUUCAUGAAUGUUAGUGUCAUAACACAUUUAUGAAACCAGUUGUGACACCUUCAUGAAUGUUACAGUAUCAUAACACAUUUAUGAAACCAGUCGUGACACCUUCAUGAAUGUUACAGUAUCAUAACACAUUUAUGAAACAGGGAGAACAUUUAUUAUCUCUGCUGCCUCUGAUAGUAACACCACAGACACACAGGGAGAACAUUU
ensembl:lncRNA